CGGUGGAUGCCCUGGCAGUCAGAGGCGAUGAAGGACGUGCUAAUCUGCGAUAAGCGUCGGUAAGGUGAUAUGAACCGUUAUAACCGGCGAUUUCCGAAUGGGGAAACCCAGUGUGUUUCGACACACUAUCAUUAACUGAAUCCAUAGGUUAAUGAGGCGAACCGGGGGAACUGAAACAUCUAAGUACCCCGAGGAAAAGAAAUCAACCGAGAUUCCCCCAGUAGCGGCGAGCGAACGGGGAGCAGCCCAGAGCCUGAAUCAGUGUGUGUGUUAGUGGAAGCGUCUGGAAAGGCGCGCGAUACAGGGUGACAGCCCCGUACACAAAAAUGCACAUGCUGUGAGCUCGAUGAGUAGGGCGGGACACGUGGUAUCCUGUCUGAAUAUGGGGGGACCAUCCUCCAAGGCUAAAUACUCCUGACUGACCGAUAGUGAACCAGUACCGUGAGGGAAAGGCGAAAAGAACCCCGGCGAGGGGAGUGAAAAAGAACCUGAAACCGUGUACGUACAAGCAGUGGGAGCACCUUCGGGUGUGACUGCGUACCUUUUGUAUAAUGGGUCAGCGACUUAUAUUCUGUAGCAAGGUUAACCGUAUAGGGGAGCCGCAGGGAAACCGAGUCUUAACUGGGCGUUAAGUUGCAGGGUAUAGACCCGAAACCCGGUGAUCUAGCCAUGGGCAGGUUGAAGGUUGGGUAACACUAACUGGAGGACCGAACCGACUAAUGUUGAAAAAUUAGCGGAUGACUUGUGGCUGGGGGUGAAAGGCCAAUCAAACCGGGAGAUAGCUGGUUCUCCCCGAAAGCUAUUUAGGUAGCGCCUCGUGAACUCAUCUUCGGGGGUAGAGCACUGUUUCGGCUAGGGGGUCAUCCCGACUUACCAACCCGAUGCAAACUACGAAUACCGAAGAAUGUUAUCACGGGAGACACACGGCGGGUGCUAACGUCCGUCGUGAAGAGGGAAACAACCCAGACCGCCAGCUAAGGUCCCAAAGUCAUGGUUAAGUGGGAAACGAUGUGGGAAGGCACAGACAGCCAGGAUGUUGGCUUAGAAGCAGCCAUCAUUUAAAGAAAGCGUAAUAGCUCACUGGUCGAGUCGGCCUGCGCGGAAGAUGUAACGGGGCUAAACCAUGCACCGAAGCUGCGGCAGCGACGCUUAUGCGUUGUUGGGUAGGGGAGCGUUCUGUAAGCCUGUGAAGGUGUGCUGUGAGGCAUGCUGGAGGUAUCAGAAGUGCGAAUGCUGACAUAAGUAACGAUAAAGCGGGUGAAAAGCCCGCUCGCCGGAAGACCAAGGGUUCCUGUCCAACGUUAAUCGGGGCAGGGUGAGUCGACCCCUAAGGCGAGGCCGAAAGGCGUAGUCGAUGGGAAACAGGUUAAUAUUCCUGUACUUGGUGUUACUGCGAAGGGGGGACGGAGAAGGCUAUGUUGGCCGGGCGACGGUUGUCCCGGUUUAAGCGUGUAGGCUGGUUUUCCAGGCAAAUCCGGAAAAUCAAGGCUGAGGCGUGAUGACGAGGCACUACGGUGCUGAAGCAACAAAUGCCCUGCUUCCAGGAAAAGCCUCUAAGCAUCAGGUAACAUCAAAUCGUACCCCAAACCGACACAGGUGGUCAGGUAGAGAAUACCAAGGCGCUUGAGAGAACUCGGGUGAAGGAACUAGGCAAAAUGGUGCCGUAACUUCGGGAGAAGGCACGCUGAUAUGUAGGUGAAGUCCCUCGCGGAUGGAGCUGAAAUCAGUCGAAGAUACCAGCUGGCUGCAACUGUUUAUUAAAAACACAGCACUGUGCAAACACGAAAGUGGACGUAUACGGUGUGACGCCUGCCCGGUGCCGGAAGGUUAAUUGAUGGGGUUAGCGGUAACGCGAAGCUCUUGAUCGAAGCCCCGGUAAACGGCGGCCGUAACUAUAACGGUCCUAAGGUAGCGAAAUUCCUUGUCGGGUAAGUUCCGACCUGCACGAAUGGCGUAAUGAUGGCCAGGCUGUCUCCACCCGAGACUCAGUGAAAUUGAACUCGCUGUGAAGAUGCAGUGUACCCGCGGCAAGACGGAAAGACCCCGUGAACCUUUACUAUAGCUUGACACUGAACAUUGAGCCUUGAUGUGUAGGAUAGGUGGGAGGCUUUGAAGUGUGGACGCCAGUCUGCAUGGAGCCGGCCUUGAAAUACCACCCUUUAAUGUUUGAUGUUCUAACGUUGGCCCCUGAUCGGGGUUGCGGACAGUGUCUGGUGGGUAGUUUGACUGGGGCGGUCUCCUCCUAAAGAGUAACGGAGGAGCACGAAGGUUGGCUAAUCCUGGUCGGACAUCAGGAGGUUAGUGCAAUGGCAUAAGCCAGCUUGACUGCGAGCGUGACGGCGCGAGCAGGUGCGAAAGCAGGUCAUAGUGAUCCGGUGGCUCUGAAUGGAAGGGCCAUCGCUCAACGGAUAAAAGGUACUCCGGGGAUAACAGGCUGAUACCGCCCAAGAGUUCAUAUCGACGGCGGUGUUUGGCACCUCGAUGUCGGCUCAUCACAUCCUGGGGCUGAAGUAGGUCCCAAGGGUAUGGCUGUUCGCCAUUUAAAGUGGUACGCGAGCUGGGUUUAGAACGUCGUGAGACAGUUCGGUCCCUAUCUGCCGUGGGCGCUGGAGAACUGAGGGGGGCUGCUCCUAGUACGAGAGGACCGGAGUGGACGCAUCACUGGUGUUCGGGUUGUCAUGCCAAUGGCACUGCCCGGUAGCUAAAUGCGGAAGAGAUAAGUGCUGAAAGCAUCUAAGCACGAAACUUGCCCCGAGAUGAGUUCUCCCUGACUCCUUGA
rnacentral:rRNA from 1 species